rnacentral:rRNA from 1 species
UACCAGCUCUUCGAGUGGUGUGGAUGUUUAUUGGGCCUAAAGCAUCCGUAGCUGGCUGGGCAAGUCCCCUGUUAAAUCCACCGAUUUAAUCGUUGGAGUGCGGGGGAUACUGUUCGGCUAGGGGACGGGAGAGGCAGACGGUAUUUUCGGGGUAGGGGUGAAAUCCUAUAAUCCCGGGAAGACCAUCAGUGGCGAAGGCUGUCUGCUAGAACGCGCCCGACGGUGAGGGAUGAAAGCGUGGGGGAGCGAACCGGAUUAGAUACCCGGGUAGUCCCAGCUGUAAACGAUGCAGGCUAGGUGUUUGGGCGGCCACGUGCCGCUCUAGUGCCGCAGGGAAGCCGUUAAGCCUGCCGCCGUGGGGAGUACGGCCGCAAGGCUAGAAACUUAAAGGAAUUGGGCGGGGAGCACCACGAAGGGGUGAAGCUUGCGGUUU